AGAGUUUGAUCAUGGCUCAGAUUGAACGCUGGCGGCAUGCUUUACACAUGCAAGUCGAGCGGCAGCGCGGGGGCAACCCUGGCGGCGAGCGGCGAACGGGUGAGGAAUACAUCGGAACGUACCCCGGAGUGGGGGGAUAACCCAGCGAAAGUUGGGCUAAUACCGCAUAUGCUCUGAGGAGGAAAGUGGGGGAUUCGCAAGAACCUCACGCUCUGGGAGCGGCCGAUGUCCGAUUAGCUUGUUGGUGGGGUAAUGGCCUACCAAGGCGACGAUCGGUAGCUGGUCUGAGAGGAUGAUCAGCCACACUGGGACUGAGACACGGCCCAGACUCCUACGGGAGGCAGCAGUGGGGAAUUUUGGACAAUGGGGGCAACCCUGAUCCAGCCAUGCCGCGUGCGGGAAGAAGGCCUUCGGGUUGUAAACCGCUUUUGGUCGGGAAGAAAAGGUUAUCCCUAAUAAGGAUGACUCUUGACGGUACCGGCAGAAUAAGCACCGGCUAACUACGUGCCAGCAGCCGCGGUAAUACGUAGGGUGCGAGCGUUAAUCGGAAUUACUGGGCAAAGCGUGCGCAGGCGGUUUGUUAAGUCUGAUGUGAAAGCCCCGGGCUCAACCUGGGAACUGCAUUGGAAACUGGCAAGCUCGAGUAUGGCAGAGGGGGGUGGAAUUCCGCGUGUAGCAGUGAAAUGCGUAGAGAUGCGGAGGAACACCGAUGGCGAAGGCAGCCCCCUGGGCCAAUACUGACGCUCAGGCACGAAAGCGUGGGGAGCAAACAGGAUUAGAUACCCUAGUAGUCC
rnacentral:rRNA from 1 species